AUAGCUGCGGCGUCUCUGUCGGAUCUCGUCGGUUUAUCGAUCUCACUUCAGCUCAGGAUCCCAUUCCGCUACUGCUGUCCCAUAUGAAGAGGGGGAAAGAAAGCACUCCUCGACCACGCACAUUCACACCGAAGCCUUCUUCAACUUAGUCGCUGACCAGCUUUUUCGCAGCGGAACAUGAGCGAUAAAGAUAAAAACGCCGGCCUCUUCUCUUCUCACCUGAGACAGCUGCUGGGCACUGUCAUGUUGGACUCCGAUUUCGCUGCUGCUGCUGGUAUUGAAAUAUCUGACCGCUGCUAUUUGCUUGCUAAGCACGAUCAUAACCCUUUAUCCUUGUGACAAAGUCACCUCAAUCGUGUAGCAGUCUAAUGCUUGUGGCUAGCUGAUGAAGUGGAGCUGCUGCAUGGUCUUAGCCGUUGCUGUUUCUGUAAUCUGUGAGCCUACCCCUGCCAAACCCGGACGAUGCUGUUUCUCCACCGACUAUUGGAUAAAGGGAACCGUAAGGUGUUAACAACGCUUGGUGGAGACUAAAGAUUCUGACUGCCAAUGUGCCCAGCCUGAGACAUGCCCUUAACACUCGAACCGCUGGGCCUCGAGGGACGCCCCUUCAGAACCGCUGGGCCUCGAUGGACACCCCUUCAGAAGCGCUGGGCCUCGAGGGACGCCCCUUCAGAAGCGCCGGGCCUC